CAGUCGCCGCGGGGAAAACGGAGGGUGCAAGCGUUAAUCGGAAUUACUGGGCGUAAAGCGCACGCAGGCGGUCUGUCAAGUCAGAUGUGAAAUCCCCGGGCUUAACCUGGGAACUGCAUUUGAAACUGGCAGGCUAGAGUCUUGUAGAGGGGGGUAGAAUUCCAGGUGUAGCGGUGAAAUGCGUAGAGAUCUGGAGGAAUACCGGUGGCGAAGGCGGCCCCCUGGACAAAGACUGACGCUCAGGUGCGAAAGCGUGGGGAGCAAACAGGAUUAGAUACCCCAGUAGUCCCUGUCUCUUAUA
rnacentral:rRNA from 1 species